rnacentral:rRNA from 1 species
AGGCGAUGAAGGGCGUAGUAACCUGCGAAAAGCAUGGGAAGCUGGUAAACGAGCUGUGAUCCCAUGAUACCCGAAUGGGAAACCACCUAAUUUAUUAGGUAUCGUGCACUGAAUCCAUAGGUGUACGAAGCAAACGAGGGGAACUGAAACAUCUAAGUACCCUUAGGAAAAGAAAAUCAAACGAGAUUCCCUCAGUAGCGGCGAGCGAAAGGGGACUAGCCGAGCAAUUUGAAUGAAGUGGAACGGUCUGGAAAGUCCGGCGAUACAGGGUGAUAGCCCCGUACACGAAACGCUCAAGUUGACGCAUUAAGUAGGUCGGGACACGUGUUAUCUUGACUGAAAGAUGGGGGGACCAUCCUCCAAGGCUAAAUACUCCCAGUUGACCGAUAGUGAACCAGUACCGUGAGGGAAAGGCGAAAAAGAACCCCCGGUGAGGGGGAGUGAAAUAGAACCUGAAACCGUGUGCGU